UACGUAGGGUCCAAGCGUUAUCCGGAAUCAUUGGGCUUAAAGCGUCCGUAGGCGGUUUUGUAAGUCAGUGGUGAAAGCCCAGCGCUCAACGGUGGAACGGCCAUUGAUACUGCAAGACUUGAAUUAUUAGGAAGUAGCUAGAAUAUGUAGUGUAGCGGUGAAAUGCUUAGAGAUUACAUGGAAUACCAAUUGCGAAGGCAGGUUACUACUAAUGGAUUGACGCUCAUGGACGAAAGCGUGGGGAGCGAACAGG
rnacentral:rRNA from 1 species